rnacentral:tRNA from 2 species
AGGGUAGUAUACUUUGAGGAUAAGCUUCUAACUUAAACCUUUAGCGGUGGAAUUCCGUUAAUGCCCUU